rnacentral:rRNA from 1 species
UACGUAGGGUGCGAGCGUUAAUCGGAAUUACUGGGCGUAAAGCGUGCGCAGGCGGUGAUGUAAGACAGGUGUGAAAUCCCCGGGCUUAACCUGGGAACUGCAUUUGUGACUGCAUCGCUGGAGUGCGGCAGAGGGGGAUGGAAUUCCGCGUGUAGCAGUGAAAUGCGUAGAUAUGCGGAGGAACACCGAUGGCGAAGGCAGCCCCCUGGGUUAACACUGACGCUCAGGCACGAAAGCGUGGGGAGCAAACAGG